rnacentral:rRNA from 1 species
GAUGAACGCUGGCGGCGUGCCUAAUACAUGCAAGUCGAGCGAACAGACGAGGAGCUUGCUCCUUUGACGUUAGCGGCGGACGGGUGAGUAACACGUGGGUAACCUACCUAUAAGACUGGGAUAACUUCGGGAAACCGGAGCUAAUACCGGAUAAUAUUUCGAACCGCAUGGUUCGAUAGUGAAAGAUGGCUUUGCUAUCACUUAUAGAUGGACCUGCGCCGUAUUAGCUAGUUGGUAAGGUAACGGCUUACCAAGGCAACGAUACGUAGCCGACCUGUGAGAGUGAUCGGCCACACUGGAACUGAGACACGGUCCAGACUCCUACGGGAGGCAGCAGUAGGGAAUCUUCCGCAAUGGGCGAAAGCCUGACGGAGCAACGCCGCGUGAGUGAUGAAAGUCUUCGGAUCGUAAAACUCUGUUAUUAGGGAAGAACAAACGUGUAAGUAACUGUGCACGUCUUGACGGUACCUAGUCAGAAAGCCACGGCUAACUACGUG